CAAGGAAUCAUCUAAGGAAUACCAGAAAGUUUCCUACUCUCUAGAGUGCUCUCCUCUCUUAUCUUCCUUCUCCACACUUAGAGUGAGUGUGAGUGUUUGGCUGGCUAGGCAUCGCGGAGGGUGUUCUAGCGCCGCACGGGCUCUGCGCGUAGGCAGAAGAGUUGGUCCGUGACAAGUGGUAUCAGAGCCGAGUUUGGAGAGCCUCAUGGAGUCCGAAGUCCCGAUGGAGUCCGGGAUCGCCGUCGAAGGUGCCCGUCCCAAGCCCCACAAGUCCAGGAGGGACAGAAGCCGGGAUAUGCGUGAGAAUCCCGAGUUGGGUCCGCUCGAGGAGCGGGUGGGCCUCGUGGAGGAGGAUGCGAAGGGCACGGCAAGGCGUAUUGAUUCCUUGGAGGAGUUUGUGCAGGGCUUGGAGGGAGAUGUGCUCGCCUCCAUGGAGGCCUUUCGCGCGCAGGUGAAAGAGCUUCAUGCCAUGGUUCAUAUCAAGGAGCAGCUUGAAGAGAAGGUGGCAUCCCAGGCGGCUGAGAUUGCGGAGUUGCGGGCUAUGGUCGAGGGCUAUGGUGAGCUCAAGACCAAAGUCCUUAUCCUUGAGAAGGCCGUAGCACAUGGUGGACCUUCGAGCAGGGAGGCACCACGUUUCAGGAUCCCCGAGCCAAAGUCCUUCAGCGGAGUGAGGGACGCCAAGGAAGUUGAGAACUUCCUUUGGGGGAUGGAGCGCUACCUCAAGGCGCUCAAAGUUGAGGAUGAGGUGGAGAAGGUAAGCACUGCUUCUCUCUACUUCACUGAGGAUGCGCUGCUUUGGUGGAGGCGGCGUUGUGCAGAGAUCGAGAAGGGUCUUUGCAUCAUUGACUCAUGGGAGGAUCUCAAGAGGGAGAUCAAGUCCCAAUUCUUUCCGGAGAAUGUUGAGUUUGCUGCUCGGAGGAGUCUGCGCCAACUCAAGCAUACAGGGGCGAUCACGGAUUACGUCAAGGAGUUCACGCGACUCAUGAUCAGCAUCACCAACAUGACCGAGGAGGACCGUCUUUUCCAAUUCCUUGACGGUUUGCAACCAUGGGCGGCACAAGAGUUGCAAAGGAGAGGAGUCCAAGAUUUAAACGCUGCAGUGGCCGCGGCCGAGAAGCUCAUGGAGUGGAAGAGGCGGGAGUGCUCUGAGGAUUCUCCCGAGUUCGUUACCAUGGAGGAGCAUGGUAAUGGAGGAAAGAAGACCCCGUUCAAGGAAGGAGCCACGAACGGGAGAGACUCGCCAGAGAGGCGUUUGGUUUGCUUCGUGUGCGGAGGCAACCACCGUGCCAGGGACUGCAAGAAAAAGGUGUGCAACGCAGUCCAAGUUGAGGAGAAUGAGGACCUCGAGAAUGUGCCGAGGAUUGGAACUGUUCGGGUCCUCAAUACACUGCGAGUCGUAGAUGGCAAGGAGGCCAACUCG
rnacentral:misc_RNA from 1 species